AAAAUCUUAGUAUAAUUAAAUUAUAUUUCAUUGUCAAUGAGGAGAAAGGAGAUUUUA
rnacentral:tRNA from 1 species